UGCGGAGCGCGUGUUUCAUGACGAUGUUACGGAAGCUGACACCCUUCAGGCGUGCCGUGCGGAUAUAUUGCGCGGUCAUCACCUCGGCCAUCGACGCACGGGUCAUGCGGGCAAUGUAGCCCAUGCCGUAGAGCGCGAUGGUGACGACGGGCAGGGUGAAGUUCCAGAAGGUGAUGUCU
rnacentral:ncRNA from 1 species